GAUGAACGCUGGCGGCGUGCCUAAUACAUGCAAGUCGAGCGAACGGACGAGAAGCUUGCUUCUCUGAUGUUAGCGGCGGACGGGUGAGUAACACGUGGAUAACCUACCUAUAAGACUGGGAUAAAUUCGGGAAACCGGGGCUAAUACCGGAUAAUAUUUUAAGCCGCAUGGUUCAAAAGUGAAAGACGGUCUUGCUGUCACUUAUAGAUGGAUCCGCGCUGCAUUAGCUAGUUGGUAAGGUAACGGCUUACCAAGGCAACGAUGCAUAGCCGACCUGAGAGGGUGAUCGGCCACACUGGAACUGAGACACGGUCCAGACUCCUACGGGAGGCAGCAGUAGGGAAUCUUCCGCAAUGGGCGAAAGCCUGACGGAGCAACGCCGCGUGAGUGAUGAAGGUCUUCGGAUCGUAAAACUCUGUUAUUAGGGAAGAACAUAUGUGUAAGUAACUGUGCACAUCUUGACGGUACCUAAUCAGAAAGCCACGGCUAACUACGUG
rnacentral:rRNA from 1 species